ACUCCUACGGGAGGCAGCAGUGGGAAUAUUGCACAAUGGGCGCAAGCCUGAUGCAGCGACGCCGCGUGGGGAUGGACGGCCUCGGGUUGUAAAACCUCUUUCAGUACCGACGAAGCGCAAGUGACGGUAGGUACAGAAGAAGCACCGGCCAACUACGUGCCAGCAGCCGCGGUAAUACGUAGGGUGCGAGCGUUGUCCGGAAUUACUGGGCGUAAAGAGCUCGUAGGUGGUUUGUCGCGUUGUCCGUGAAAUCCCACGGCUUAACUGUGGGCGUGCGGGCGAUACGGGCAGACUGGAGUACUGCAGGGAGACUGGAAUUCCUGGUGUAGCGGUGGAAUGCGCAGAUAUCAGGAGGAACACCGGUGGCGAAGGCGGGUCUCUGGGCAGUAACUGACGCUGAGGAGCGAAAGCGUGGGGAGCGAACAGGAUUAGAUACCCUGUAGGCUCUG
rnacentral:rRNA from 1 species